rnacentral:ncRNA from 1 species
AAGUCUGGUGCCAGCAGCCGCGGUAAUUCCAGCUCCAAUAGCGUAUAUUAAAGUUGUUGCAGUUAAAAAGCUCGUAGUUGAACUUCAGACCUGGCUGGGCGGUCCGCUUAACGGCGAGUACUGUUCGGCUGGGCCUUACUUCUUGGUGAGCCGGCGUGCCCUUUAUUGGUGUGCGUCGGGGAACCAGGACUUUUACCUUGAGAAAAUUAGAGUGUUCAAAGCAGGCC